rnacentral:rRNA from 1 species
CCUACGGGGGGCAGCAGUGGGGGAUAUUGCACAAUGGGGGGAACCCUGAUGCAGCGACGCCGCGUGAGUGAGGAAGUAUCUCGGUAUGUAAAGCUCUAUCAGCAGGGAAGAAGCAAGACGGUACCUGACUAAGAAGCCCCGGCUAACUACGUGCCAGCAGGCGCGGUAAUACGGAGGGGGCGAGCGUUAUCCGGAUUUACUGGGUGUAAAGGGAGCGUAGACGGCAUGGCAAGUCUGGAGUGAAAGCCCGGGGCCCAACCCCGGGACUGCUCUGGAAACUGCCAUGCUCGAGUGCUGGAGAGGUAAGUGGAAUGCCUGGUGUAGCGGUGAAAUGCGUAGAUAUUAGGAGGAACACCAGUGGCGAAGGCGGCUUACUGGACAGUGACUGACGUUGAGGCUCGAAAGCGUGGGGAGCAAACAGGAUUAGAUACCCGAGUAGUC